rnacentral:misc_RNA from 1 species
AAAUGAGCGCCGAUGAAUGCUCCGGUCCAAUCGAAAGUCUCCGCGAGGCGGGGCCGACCCGCAUCCGCCGCAAUGCCAUCGCAGAUGCACCCUGACGCAAGGAACACGCCAAAAAUGACUCGCUUCAUCGCCCCGAACUUUCAAGCUCCUUGGCCUGAAAAGGCGCACGACACGGCUAUUUUGGCAACCAAUUAAGAAUCGCUCGGCGUCAUAGUCCUGUCGUG